UUGAAGAUAAAGUGUCAAAGUAACUUGAUUAUUAACUGACGUUGAAAAACUAUAACUACUUAGUUUCAGCCUCUACCUUCGCCCCCCACUAACACUACUGCUAAGUGCUAACCCUCCUUGAUCUCAGCUAAUACGAAGUCCGCUGACUUCGUCCCUUCGACUUCCAAGUUCCAACUAUCCUGGAAGAACUCAUUUGACAGUAAGCACAACUAUUGGACUAAACUGCAGUUCCUUGUUUGGUUUGCAGUAUGGACAAAGAGGAUAUUUGGAAUACAGUUUCUACAGAAACUACAAACUUAUUCCUAGCAACAUUCUUUAUCCGUCAUGAGAGCUCACAAGUCUUCUCAGUAUGAUCCUUCAGCAAUAAUGGUCUUCUCGGUACGCUCCUUUACCGAUAAUGGGGGGUGGGGACCCAACACUGCACCGUCGUCGUCAUCAUCCAUACAAGUACACAUAUCAGGGCCAGCAUAACAGAAUACAGACCGUCCAUUUAAGCAAGCACAUCCACACCCUUUGUAAUCAUCUUAUUAGAGUGAACUUCUAUAUUUAAAGAAAGGAAAAAGGUAAAAACAAGCUCUCCCCUACUGCCACUAUCACCCCUAUCUCUACUUGUCAAUUCAGUCAAAGGGGAAUUCACAAUCCUACAACGUUUUUCACUCAUCAACAUAUCUCUAAGUUCAAAUAUUACAACUGCAAAAAUGAGGUCAUUGGGUGACAAAAGACAAACCUGCACAUUGCUUAUCUUCUGCCUUUUCCCUUUCGAGCAUCUAUUUAGAUUGAGUUGAGCAUCUUCUGGUUUGUCGAGAGAGGGGAUCUUUUGUAUGAAUGAUAGGAACGCAUCAGUAUGGGAAACAAUAGCAGAAGACCAACAAUGUCGGGAUAAUUCAUCAUCACCAUCAUCAUCUGCAUCUUUCAGGACAAUGGCAUACCUGAAAUUCCAACUCAGGAGGAGCCUCCCUUGGAAGUCUGAAAAAUUCCAAUAAGGCAUUCACAAUCACAUCAGCAAAUUACAGAAGAAUCCUCAAUACAGAUAAAGCUGAGGCAAACUCCAUUCUAAAACAAAAUAAAAGACUAAAGAAUAAUGCAGCUUACCAGUUAUAUAGGAACAAGUUGGAUGCAUCUCGUCAUAGAAAAUAAUCAACAAACACAAUAUCAAUGUCGAGCUGUGACGAACCAUAGAACUCCAUUCCAAACCCAAAAGACUAACGAACAGUGCAGCUUACCAAGUUUCGUAGGAAGAAGUUGGCUAUGCUGUAGAAGUACCAUAUGCAUCUCGUUACAAGACAAAAAAUAACAAAGUUAGUAUCAUAACAAACAAAAUAUCAAUGUCGCCCACAAAGACUAAAGAACAGUGUAGCUUACCAAUUAUAUAGGAAGAAGUUGACUGUAAUCUAAAGGUGCCAUGACCGAAAAGAUGCAU
rnacentral:lncRNA from 1 species